rnacentral:lncRNA from 1 species
GUGAAAAUCUUCCCAAAUUUGGGCUAGGUAGAAGCCUUUGGAAAACAAGACCAUAUGUUAAGACGCAUGUAGGAACUUCGGCGACUUGGUGGUGAUAAUUUUGUCCUCGGGGAGCCCCCUUGCCCUUUCCUGUGUCAGUGCCUGGACCUGGGGUCUCCACCCCGACACUUCCAGCCCCGGGGUCCCCACAGAGUCAGGGUAGAGCCCACAGACCCACCUCUGCUCAUGGGGAUUGCUCUCAGGAAAAAGCUCUGUACGAGCCGCAUGCAUUCACCUUGGGUAUGCGAGCAUGGAAGCGAAAUAACCCAAGUUACACGUUUUUGCCACGCACACAGCUGUGGGGAGGGAAGGUCUCGUUCCCAAGAUCUGCCUGCAUAACCACGAUGAGGAAGAGGAUGUUUUGCUUCACAGUAGCUUACUCAUUUGCCUACAGUUUAAUUAAGCCCCUGAGAAGUCGUUGGCUGACACUGCUUUCUGGCCGGACAGGCUGCGGAACUUGUAUGGCUCCCCCGGCACCUGGAGUGUGUGGCAUCCUUUAG